rnacentral:misc_RNA from 1 species
UUUCCGUAGGUGAACCUGCGGAAGGAUCAUUAUUGAAUGAACUUGGUAGUGGUUGUAGCUGGCUCUCUCGAGAGCAUGUGCACACCCGCCAUCUUUAUCUUUCCACCUGUGCACUUCUUGUAGACUUUGGGAUUUGAAAACUUAUCCGGGGCAACUCGGUCGGUCGGAGCUGCUGUAGCAAUACGGCUCUCCUUGACAAGUCUUCAAAGUCUAUGUUUUUCAUAUACCCCAUAGCAUGUAACAGAAUGUAUACAAAUGAGCCUUAGUGCUUAUAAAACUUAUACAACUUUCAACAACGGAUCUCUUGGCUCUC